rfam:Desulfovibrio vulgaris str. 'Miyazaki F', complete genome.
GGGGGCGCCCUGGUUUCGACGGGGAUGUGGAAGCCGGAAUUGCAGGCCGAGGCGCCGCUGGCCUCGUAAAAAGCGGCACCAAAAGUAAUUGCCAACAAUUACGAAUACGCACUGGCUGCCUAAUUAGUGGCCACGCCAAACCGAUCGACGCCUGAUACGUCGGCGAGGUGUAACUUCAUCAGGCUGGCAUCCAAGGGCGCUCGCCGCUGCGGGUGUAAGAACUACAGGUGAGCUGGUCUAGGGCCGCCCGGUCGGGGGCCAAGCCCGUGACGACAAUUGUUCCCGACAUAAGCCUGUAGACGUUUCGCGUGGAAUGUUCUCGGACGCGGGUUCGAUUCCCGCCGCCUCCACCA